rnacentral:rRNA from 1 species
UAGGGAAUCUUCGGCAAUGGACGAAAGUCUGACCGAGCAACGCCGCGUGAGUGAAGAAGGUUUUCGGAUCGUAAAACUCUGUUGUUAGAGAAGAACAAGGACGUUAGUAACUGAACGUCCCCUGACGGUAUCUAACCAGAAAGCCACGGCUAACUACGUGCCAGCAGCCGCGGUAAUACGUAGGUGGCAAGCGUUGUCCGGAUUUAUUGGGCGUAAAGCGAGCGCAGGCGGUUUCUUAAGUCUGAUGUGAAAGCCCCCGGCUCAACCGGGGAGGGUCAUUGGAAACUGGGAGACUUGAGUGCAGAAGAGGAGAGUGGAAUUCCAUGUGUAGCGGUGAAAUGCGUAGAUAUAUGGAGGAACACCAGUGGCGAAGGCGGCUCUCUGGUCUGUAACUGACGCUGGGGCUCGAAAGCGUGGGGAGCAAACAGU